UGGGGAAUCUUGCACAAUGGGGGCAACCCUGAUGCAGCGACGCCGCGUGAGCGAUGAAGCCCUUCGGGGCGUAAAGCACUUUCGACCGGAACGAUAAUGACGGUACCGGGAGAAGAAGCUGCGGCUAACUACGUGCCAGCAGCCGCGGUAAUACGUAGGCAGCAAGCGUUGUUCGGAGUUACUGGGCGUAAAGAGUGCGUAGGCGGUUUUCUAAGUUCGGUGUGAAAUCUCCCGGCUUAACUGGGAGGGUGCGCCGAAGACUGGGAAGCUGGAGUGUGGGAAAGGCAGGCGGAAUUCCUGGUGUAGCGGUGAAAUGCGUAGAUAUCAGGAGGAACACCUGCGGUGCAGACGGCUUUCUGGACCAUCACUGACGCUGAGGCACGAAAGCGUGGGUA
rnacentral:rRNA from 1 species